ensembl:snRNA U6 U6 spliceosomal RNA
AAACCCUUCCAGCAGUACUUGCCUUAUUGAUUGAAAUAAGAGUAAUACAGAGAUUAGCAGGGCUCCUGGGUAAGUAUGACAUUUAAACUAGUGAAAGUUUCCUCGUGUGU